GGCGUUAUUUGGAAAGCUCGUGGAGGGGCCACAGACGCUCACAGCCAGUUGCCUUUGGAUCCCUGAGACUCCCACCGCUGCCACCCAGUGUGGAUCUCCCGUCACCUGUCUAUGCUGAAUGCUGAUGAAAGAUUGUAAGAAUUUCAGAAAGGAACUAACAGAUAGAAAAAUACAGUGAGGGGAAGAGAACCUUAUAUGGAGAUACGCUUCAAAAGUUUGCUGGACUAUAUUUGGGGAACAAAAAAGACACCCCAGCAUCCUGCACCUAGGAAGUAAAUGGGCAGUGCAUUUACAUUCAUGAAAAUGGGAUCACAACCAGAUUUGGUUGGAAACAUUGUAGGAGGCUUUGGGUGAGGCAAAAACAGGAGCAAAUAAAAGCCGG